rnacentral:rRNA from 1 species
GACGAACGCUGGCGGCGUGCCUAAUACAUGCAAGUCGAACGCAUUUUCUUUCACCGUAGCUUGCUACACCGAAAGAAAAUGAGUGGCGAACGGGUGAGUAACACGUCGGCAACCUGCCCAUCAGCGGGGGAUAACACUUGGAAACAGGUGCUAAUACCGCAUAAUUCCAUUUACCGCAUGGUAGAGGGAUGAAAGGCGCUUUUGCGUCACUGAUGGAUGGACCCGCGGUGCAUUAGCUAGUUGGUGGGGUAACGGCCUACCAAGGCUGCGAUGCAUAGCCGACCUGAGAGGGUGAUCGGCCACACUGGGACUGAGACAAGGCCCAGACUCCUACGGGAGGCAGCAGUAGGGAAUCUUCGGCAAUGGACGCAAGUCUGACCGAGCAACGCCGCGUGAGUGAAGAAGGUUUUCGGAUCGUAAAACUCUGUUGUUAGAGAAGAACAAGGAUGAGAGUGGAAAGUUCAUCCCUUGACGGUAUCUAACCAGAAAGCCACGGCUAACUACGUG